AGUAAAAUUGUCCUUAUUUGCAAAUGGCACAACUGUCUGUAGAAAAUCCUAAGCAAUCUACAAAAAAGCUCCUAGAAUUAGUAAGUUAGUUCAGUAAAAGGGCACAAUACAAGAUCAACAUACAAAAGUCAGCACUGUAUAUAUUGGUAAUGAACAUGUGAAAAGUAAAAUACCAUUCACAACUUCUCAAAAAAAAAAAAAAUUAGAAAAAAAGCUUAGACGGCAGUUCUUCCCCAAAUUGAUCAACAGGUUUAACUCAAUUCCUUUAGAAAUGGCAGCAAGGUUUUUGUAGAUAUAGACAAGAUGAUU